AUAACAGCCUCUCUGGUGAAUUUCCAGAAGAAUCUAUCAGUGUUGGCUUGGUUUCACUUGAUGUUAGUCACAACCAGUUAUCAGGAGAACUUCCCAAGUCUCUGAUUAAUUGCACUUACCUCCAGUUUGUAAACGUUGAAGACAACAUGUUCAAUGACAUGUUUCCUUUCGGGUUGAGAGUGUUGCCUGGUUUGCAGUUUCUUGUCCUUCGUUCUAACAAGUUCCAUGGGCCACUAUAUCCUCCAGUCCGAUUGCAACAUGCAAACUCUCUGCUGAAGCAUAUGGUCAAGUCCCACCAUGGAGACCGGAGAAUCAGCCCAAUCGACCCUGCAAGGAAAAAAGCUGCUCCUUUACCGAAAUCUCUAGAACUAGAAGUCGAGUCUCUUGCUUCAUCUGAAGAUGACUAAGCUGAGGAUUCCAAUCUGUUCCUCGAGAAAGGCCCUCAGUACAAGACAAGUCGACAAACCUUCCAAUCUCUCUUCCGUGAGAAUCCGGAUAUGUUGCGACCAAGAGUCAAACCUCUCAGCGCUCGGUUCUCUAUCAAAGCUGCUGUUGAAAGGUACAUGUCCAUGAAAUUCCGUAAGUUCCUCAUUCCGCACUGUCUCCCUCUUACAGAUGAGAAGCUUGUAGAUGUUAAGGAUGUAACCGGUGCAGCUAAAUUGAUAUAUACUUUGAUCAGUGCUGAUCAUUCUCUCCAACCGUGAUAAGAGAGUUCAUUGCGAAUCUUUUGGAUGCUAAGGAAAGAGCUGAUGGGGUCGAUGUGUAUUUCCUAAGCUCCUUAGUGGAGCUCUUUCCGAGUCUGAUCAACUCCAUGUAUUGCAUCUCUGACUUCGAGGACGAUGUUGAUUGGAGCUUUGAGAAAAUUGAUCGAGUGUGUGCAUAUCGCACUGAUGAUCGCGUUAAAAGUUGGGUGAAGAUAAGCUCUAAGUUCUUAACCUUGACGAAUCAAGUGCUCUACAAGCUUGUCUGCUCAAACUGGAUCCCUACGAUCAGCUACACUGCGAUGAAUUAAGAGCAUCUCAAAUUCCUCUAGAUGCUUCAUCAGCAGAAAAUGUUCAAUUUUGGGAAGUUGGUGUAUGACCAAAUCAUGAAAAUGGCUCAUAAAGUUGAUGAUAAGCAGAGGCAAAUCAUCUUUCCCACUAUAACAGUUUUUAUAUCUCCAAGGAAAAAAUAGUUUUAUGCCUCAGUAAUUAACGAAAAUUAUAUUUCCAAAUAACAUUUCUUAUGAUGGUUAAUUAAAGAAACACUUUUAAUGAAUUAAAAUAUUAUAUCUAAUUGACAUUUUUAAAUACUAUUUAAUAAUUUAUGCCAAUUAUUAUUUUUAUUUUAUUUUCCUCUUUCAUAUUUUUCCAAAUAACAUUUCUGAUAAGAAGAAUAUAUUGAUAUAAUAAAAAACAAAAAUUAUAUCAACAAAAAGGAAAGAAACAUAUUUUAUAUAUAAUGUUAUUUCAUAAAAAGGAAAAAAAAAACAGUUUUUAUGUUAAAAAUAAUCAUCUCUUUAAAACAUAAUAUUAAAAAAAAAAUUUAUCAGUCUAUUCUUGCAUAUUAUUAAAAUUAAUUUAAAUAGCAUGUACUAAAAUAUCCUUGAUGAACUAAAAAUAUUUUAUAUUGUAUUAUUGAGAUAUUUAUUCAUUUUCCAUAAUUUUGUUUUAAUUUUUAAAUUGAUUUACAUUUCUAUAUAUGUUUAUCAAACUACAUAACCAAAAAUAUACAAACAUUAAUCAAACUUAAAUACCAUUAAAAUUUGUUCAAUGCUUAAUAUUUUAAUUUUAAUUUUAAAUUUAUAAUUUUAUACAAAUAGUAUACCUAUAAUAAAAAUACAUAACCAAUAAUUUAAUUAUAUUUUAUACAUCUAAAUUAUAAAGUUUCAUCGAAUUUAGAAAAAAAGAGUAAAAUGUUGAUAUUUUUUCAUGUGUUUUCAAAAUUUUACCAGUAAUGUUCGUUUAUAAAACUUCUACUUAUCAUCAUUUCAUUUUUUUCUACUAUUUUUAUAAAUCUACAAAUAUCAAAUUAUACAUAAGAAUUUACAAAAUAUAUUUACAUUUUUAGAUGAAGAACUAACUAAUGCAAUAUAUAAAACAGAUCAAAUUUAGUUUAACAAUAAUCAAAAGUAAGUGUGCUUCAACUUGAAAAAAUAUGUGUAACUUAAUAUAACCCACAAAAUGAGUAACUUAAACAAUCUAAAUUUUUUUCCCAAAAUCAAAAGUUUAAUGAAAAGAAAAAAAAAUCAAAAUUCAGUUUUUUCUGCACAAAAAUAUUAUGGCUAAACUUAGAGAAGAAAAUACAAUUCAAUAGACCCAAGUAAUAACCAAAUCGACUGGAUAUUAUAUGUCCAAAUUAGCUGUCUAAUUAAAAUAAUUUAAUAUUAUUUAAAAUAAAUUAUACAUAUAAAAUACUAAUAAUUAAAAUUAGAAUUAGAGUACUAACAAUUUACAAAAGAUUUAAUUUUUAAAAUAUUUAUAUCCGUGCAUGAACACGAGAAAAAUCAACUAAUAUAUAUAUAUGUUCAGCCUCUGGUUAGGUUUAGGGUAUGGUUUUAUUGAAAAAGAAACGAGUGUGGGGUUUAUCUUCACUGCGUUUGCUUGAAAGAUUGGUGAGUGACUUGAGAAUUCAGCUCAGUUCUUGUAUUUUGGGUAGAUUAAGAAUUGAUCUAUCUCAAAUCAUGUGUGAUGUUGAGUUAUUCGGAUUAGACAAGUCUGUAUAAAAUUGUUUAAGCUAUUUCUAAUACACAAAAUACGUGUUAUUAAAGUCACAAGUGUUCACAUAGUUUUGAUCUCCUGUGAACUUUCAAAAAAGUAGUUAACUCGUUUGAAUUAAAAAAAACGAGCUUUGGUUGUCUUGCAAUAUCUCUGAUUCUAUUGACGUUUAUUUGUGUCCACUCUUCUAGCAAAACCAUCAAAGGCGUUAAGAAGCUUUAUGUACAUUUCUGAUAUUAAACUGGUUGUGUUUUCGUCUCAUCUGUAGGUACAACUUCAACUACAAACAUUAGUUGAUGAAAAGCACUUUGAUGGUGUAAAUAUAAUCUUCUUUUUUUUUUUGUCAUCUAUGGUGUAAAUAUAAUCAACAUGCAAAAAUUGCCCUCUUUAAAAAACAGUUUUCCUAAAUCCUACUGCACACUACACGUAAAAGACAGGUUUAGGAGAGGAAGGAAACUAAAACCUACAAAAAUGUUUAUUAACACUGUCAAAGACUUGUUUCCUUGUAGUGGUUAGCGUCGUUUGGGCAAUUGAUUGAACAACAACACACGGCAGAAAAAUAUGUUUGUGGCUGCAAAGCGUUUCAGCGCUUUACCCACACCACACGGCUUAGACAAAACUGUGUUUGUCGUUUUGGAUACUUUUUAAAUCCGUACUGAAUUUUAAUCUUAUUAGACUUUUUGGACCAUUCAUCAAUUAAUUCUCCAUAGAAGACUUGUUCUAAGUCUUCACGAGACUUGUUAAGUCGAUAUUUGAUUUUCUCUCGUUUCACAGCAAAAGCAGAAAAAAAAAACACAAAUAACAAAACGAUGCCUUCUUGUAGUGAAAGGAAGAUGAUAGUAUGGAUCUUGUGUUUAAUAUUUUCUCUUUCUCAUCCAAUACUUAUUUUCGCUUCUUUUCCUGCUAAGCACAUGUGUCAUGCAGACCAAAGGGAUGCUCUUUGGGAGUUCAAGAGCGAGUUCCAUCCCAGUGGGCUGGCUGCUAGUGAGAAGACGCAGAGGUGGAGGAACAACACUGAUUGCUGUUCUUGGGAUGGUAUCACUUGUGAUCCUAAUACGGGCAAUGUUGCUGGGUUAAAUCUCUUGGGCAGUUCUCUCAAUGGCUCUUUAAGAUCAAAUAGUAGUCUGUUUAGAUUACAGCAUCUUCAGAGCCUUGAUCUUAGCUCCAGUAAUCUCGCCGGUAUUCUACCAGAUUCUAUUGGUAAUCUCAAAAAUUUGAGGGUUUUGAAACUUCUUGAAUGCAAUUUAUUUGGAAAGCUUCCUUCGUCGCUUGGGAAUCUUUCUUAUCUCACUCAUCUUGAUCUUGAUGGUAAUGAUUUCACCGGUGAACUACCAGAUUUGAUGGGCAACCUAAACCAACUCACAAAGUUGAUACUUGCAUCAAGCAAGCUCAGUGGGAACUUUCCUCAUGUGCUACUCAAUUUGACCGAGCUCACUACAAUCAACCUUCAUUUUAACCAGCUUGAAGGUACGCUCCCAUCUAACAUGAGUAGCCUCUCCAAACUGGAGUACUUUAAUAUUGGUUCAAAUUCAUUUUCUGGAUCUAUUCCGUCGUCUCUUUUCAUGAUUCCUUCGUUGAUCCAUCUUAACCUGGAAAGGAAUGGCUUCAGCGGUCCUCUUGAGAUUGGGAAUAUCUCUUCACCAUCUAAACUUCAAACUUUAAGCCUUGGAGGAAACAGUCUUAAUGGGCCAAUCCCGGGAUUUAUUUCAAAACUAGCCGGACUCUUGUAUUUGGACCUAUCUUUUUGGAAUAUACGGAGAGGCGUGGUGGGUUUCAGCAUCUUCUUGCAUCUCAAGUCACUUACGUUCCUUGACCUGUCCCAUCUGAAUACAAGAAGUAUGGUCGACAUGAGUCUCUUCUCACAUCUCAUGUCACUUAGCGUACUUCACCUUUCAGGUAAUAAUUUGAAUAUCAGUUCAACUCUCAAUCUUCCCUCGCCCAUUGGAUCACUGGCUCUAGCGUCCUGCAAUAUUUCUGAAUUUCCAAAGUUUCUACAAACACAAACCAGUUUGUUUUACUUAGAUAUUUCUAACAAUCAAAUCAAAGGGCAAGUACCAGAGUGGUUAUGGAGUCUCCCAGGGCUGGGGUAUGUAGACUUUUCUCGGAAUUCAUUUAGUGGUUUUGAUGGACCAGCGGAUGUUAUUCAAAGAAAUGAAAUAUAUAUGCUGGAUAUAAGUUCAAACACUUUCAAGAAUCCAUUUCCUUUGUUACCAAAAUCUAUUAUAUAUUUUUCAGCUUCUGAUAAUCAGUUUUCAGGAGAGAUUCCGAAGAUAAUAUGCGAGCUGGAUUCUCUUGGUAAACUUAUUUUAUCCAACAACAACUUCAGCGGUUCUAUACCUCGGUGUUUUGAGAAUUUCAAUACUAAGCUUACAGUCUUGCAUCUUCAGAAUAACAGCCUCUCUGGUGAAUUUCCAGAAGAAUCUAUCAGUGUUGGCUUGGUUUCACUUGAUGUUAGUCACAACCAGUUAUCAGGAGAACUUCCCAAGUCUCUGAUUAAUUGCACUUACCUCCAGUUUGUAAACGUUGAAGACAACAUGUUCAAUGACAUGUUUCCUUUCGGGUUGAGAGUGUUGCCUGGUUUGCAGUUUCUUGUCCUUCGUUCUAACAAGUUCCAUGGGCCACUAUAUCCUCC
rnacentral:lncRNA from 1 species